ACUCCCUUAGUAUAAUACGUAUUACAACUGACUUCCAAUCAGUUA
rnacentral:tRNA from 1 species